UGCCUACGGGACGCAGCAGUGGGGGAUAUUGGACAAUGGGGGAAACCCUGAUCCAGCGAUGCCGCGUGAGGGAAGAAGGUUUUCGGAUUGUAAACCUCUGUGGAGGGGGACGAUAAUGACGGUACCCCUUUAGGAAGCCACGGCUAACUACGUGCCAGCAGCCGCGGUAAUACGUAGGUGGCGAGCGUUGUCCGGAAUUACUGGGUGUAAAGGGAGUGUAGGCGGGAAAGCAAGUCAGAAGAGAAAAACAUGGGCUUAACCCAUAGCCUUCUUUUGAAAAUGUUUUUCUUGAGUGAAGAAGAGGG
rnacentral:rRNA from 1 species